AGUGAACGCUGGCGGAAUGCUUUACACAUGCAAGUCGAACGGUAGAGGGGGCAACCCCUCGAGAGUGGCGCACGGGUGAGUAAUAUAUCGGAACGUGCCCAGUUGUGGGGGGUAACGUAGCGAAAGUUACGGUAAUACCGCAUCCGAACUAAGGAUGAAAGGGGGGGCUCGCCAGACCUCGCGUGAUUGGAGCGGCCGAUAUCAGAUGAGGUAGUGCGUGGGGUAAAGGCGCACCAAGCCAACGAUCUGUAGCUGGUCUGAGAGGACGACCAGCCACACUGGAACUGAGACACGGUCCAGACUCCUACGGGAGGCAGCAGUGGGGAAUUUUGGACAAUGGACGCAAGUCUGAUCCAGCCAUUCCGCGUGCAGGAUGAAGGCCCUCGGGUUGUAAACUGCUUUUGUACGGAACGAAAAGGUCUCUCUUAAUACGGGGGGCUCAUGACGGUACCGUAAGAAUAAGCACCGGCUAACUACGUGCCAGCAGCCGCCGUAA
rnacentral:rRNA from 1 species